rnacentral:rRNA from 1 species
GGAAUAUUGGGCAAUGGAGGCAACUCUGACCCAGCAACGCCGCGUGAAUGAUGAAGGUCUUCGGAUUGUAAAGUUCUGUGAUGGGGGACGAAGAAAGUGACGGUACCCCAAUAGCAAGCUACGGCUAACUACGUGCCAGCAGCCGCGGUAAUACGUAGGUAGCAAGCGUUGUCCGGAAUGACUGGGCGUAAAGGGUGCGUAGGUGGAUUAGCAAGUUAGUGGUGAAAUUCCGGAGCUUAACUCCGGCGCUACCACUAAGACUGUUGAGCUUGAGUACAGGAGAGGUAAGUGGAAUUCCUAGUGUAGCGGUGGAAUGCGUAGAUAUUAGGAGGAACACCAGAGGCGAAGGCGACUUACUGGCCUGCAACUGACACUGAGGCACGAAAGCGUGGGGAGCAAACA